rnacentral:rRNA from 1 species
AUACAGAGGGUGCGAGCGUUAAUCGGAAUUACUGGGCGUAAAGCGCGCGUAGGCGGCUACUUAAGUCAGAUGUGCAAUCCCCGGGCUCAACCUGGGAACUGCAUCUGAUACUGGGUAGCUAGAGUUUAGGAGAGGGAAGUAGAAUUUCAGGUGUAGCGGUGAAAUGCAUAGAGAUCUGAAGGAAUACCAGUGGCGAAGGCGGCUUCCUGGCCUAAAACUGACGCUGAGGUGCGAAAGCGUGGGUAGCAAACGGGAUUAGAAACCCCAGUAGUCC